AUUGAACGCUGGCGGCAGGCCUAACACAUGCAAGUCGAGCGGUAGAGAGGUGCUUGCAUCUCUUGAGAGCGGCGGACGGGUGAGUAAUGCCUAGGAAUCUGCCUAGUGGUGGGGGAUAACGUUCGGAAACGGACGCUAAUACCGCAUACGUCCUACGGGAGAAAGCGGGGGAUCUUCGGACCUCGCGCCAUUAGAUGAGCCUAGGUCGGAUUAGCUAGUUGGUGAGGUAAUGGCUCACCAAGGCGACGAUCCGUAACUGGUCUGAGAGGAUGAUCAGUCACACUGGAACUGAGACACGGUCCAGACUCCUACGGGAGGCAGCAGUGGGGAAUAUUGGACAAUGGGCGAAAGCCCUGAUCAGCCAUGCCGCGUGUGU
rnacentral:rRNA from 1 species